AGGCUACAAGGCGACGAUCGGUAGCUGGUCUGAGAGGAUGGCCAGCCACACUGGAACUGAGACACGGUCCAGACUCCUACGGGAGGCAGCAGUGGGGAAUAUUGGACAAUGGGGGCAACCCUGAUCCAGCAAUGCCGCGUGUGUGAAGAAGGCCUGAGGGUUGUAAAGCACUUUCAGUGGGGAGGAGGAUUGAAUGGUUAAGAGCUGUUUAAUUGGACGUUACCCACAGAAGAAGCACCGGCUAACUCCGUGCCAGCAGCCGCGGUAAUACGGAGGGUGCGAGCGUUAAUCGGAAUUACUGGGCGUAAAGGGUGCGUAGGUGGUUUGAUAAGUUAUCUGUAAAAGCCCAGGGCUCACCCUUGGAAGGCCAGAUAAAACUGUUAUACUCUAGUAUGGGAGAGGGUAGUGGAUUUUACGCUGUACUGCUUAAAUGCG
rnacentral:rRNA from 1 species